AUUGAACGCUGGCGGCAUGCUUUACACAUGCAAGUCGAACGGUAACAGGGAGCUUGCUCCGCUGACGAGUGGCGAACGGGUGAGUAAUGCGCCGGAACGUGCCGAGUAGUGGGGGAUAACGCAGCGAAAGUUGUGCUAAUACCGCAUACGUACUGAGGUAGAAAGUGGGGGACCUGCGGGCCUCACGCUAUUCGAGCGGCCGACGUCUGAUUAGCUAGUUGGUGAGGUAAAGGCUCACCAAGGCGACGAUCUGUAGCGGGUCUGAGAGGAUGAUCCGCCACACUGGGACUGAGACACGGCCCAGACUCCUACGGGAGGCAGUAGUGGGGAAUUUUGGACAAUGGGCGCAAGCCUGAUCCAGCCAUGCCGCGUGAGUGAAGAAGGCCUUCGGGUUGUAAAGCUCUUUCGGACGGGAAGAAAUUGGUGGGGCUAAUAUCCCCAUCGGAUGACGGUACCGUAAUAAGAGGCACCGGCUAACUACGUGCCAGCCGCCGCCGUAACAC
rnacentral:rRNA from 1 species